UGAAUCUGGGUCCUGUGAAAGAGGGACUAGAUUGUGCUAGAUAGGGGUCGGGUGGCUUUGUGGUGGUACCUAGUUGUAUGAUAGGGGCACCAGAUUGUAUUAUGGUACUGCCAAAUGAUACGGUGGAGGAGCAGGAUUGUACCGGGGUGCCUUUGGACCUUCCCGUUGUAAAGGUGGCUCAACCUGUGGCAGUGGGGGAUGGUCAAACAGCUCCCUCCUUUUAUCCCAGGUCUACUGGGCAUAUAUGAGUUUCUCCAGUAUCUCAAAGAGUCGAUCAACAUCAUCUCAAAACAAUCCAUCUCGAGCUGCUUGGUUUAGUAGGGGUCUUCCUCUCCUCUUAUCCUUGAACCUACAUUUCACAAAGAAGGAUUGAACGACAGUUUAUAUUUGGUGGUUUUAAAUCUUU
rnacentral:lncRNA from 1 species